rnacentral:ncRNA from 2 species
UUAUAGUGUGCUCUCCGAGCCAGAUAGCCUAAAGCAUUGAUGCCACGGUUUAUUGGCCGUAAGGGUACGUUGGGAAACCGGCGUGCCUUCCACUGCGAAAAGGAGACCUGGAUGCGGCAUU